AACGAACGCUGGCGGCAGGCUUAACACAUGCAAGUCGAGCGCCCCGCAAGGGGAGCGGCAGACGGGUGAGUAACGCGUGGGAAUCUACCCAUCUCUACGGAAUAACGCAUGGAAACGUGUGCUAAUACCGUAUACGUCCUUCGGGAGAAAGGUUUAUCGGAGAUGGAUGAGCCCGCGUUGGAUUAGCUAGUUGGUGGGGUAAAGGCCUACCAAGGCGACGAUCCAUAGCUGUGCUGAGAGGAUGAUCAGCCACACUGGGACUGAGACACGGCCCAGACUCCAACGGGAGGCAGCAGGGGGGAAUAUUGGAAAAUGGGCGCAAGCCUGAUCCAGCCAUGCCGCGUGAGUGAUGAAGGCCCUAGGGUUGUAAAGCUCUUUCACCGGUGAAGAUAAUGACGGUAACCGGAGAAGAAGCCCCGGCUAACUUCGUGCCAGCCGCCGCGGUAAAAC
rnacentral:rRNA from 1 species